UACUUUCAGGGAUCAUUUCUAUAG
rnacentral:miRNA from 1 species